CAGCAGCCGCGGUAAAACGUAGGGUGCGAGCGUUAAUCGGAAUUACUGGGCGUAAGCGUGCGCAGGCGGUUGUGUAAGACAGGUGUGAAAUCCCCGGGCUUAACCUGGGAACUGCGCUUGUGACUGCACAGCUAGAGUAUGGCAGAGGGGGGUGGAAUUCCACGUGUAGCAGUGAAAUGCGUAGAGAUGUGGAGGAACACCAGUGGCGAAGGCGGCUUACUGGCUCGAAACUGACGCUGAGGCGCGAAAGCGUGGGGAGCAAACAGGAUUAGAUACCCCCGUAGUCCCUGUCUCUUAUACC
rnacentral:rRNA from 1 species